UAGACAAUACCAGGAUCUGUAGAAGAUACAGUCAGUGGAUGGGUACUGGAAGCAGUAUAAUACUUUUGAUACAUUAUGAUGCUGGAUACAGGAGAAAUUAAGAGAUAUAAGUGGAAAUACAGAAGGGUUCAGGGAAUUUCUAGGUGUCAGUGUUCUGGGAAUGUGAUACAGCUUACCGGUAGGUUUAUCUACCUGGUAUAAUACAGAGGAAAUUGA